UUUAUUAGGAAAAGGUUCGAUUAUUCUUGCCGUAUAAAAGGUACUGCUAUAGAUGUAACUAGCCAAUAGUCGAGGUACUCGACAAAAAAUCCGAAUUGAAGAUGAAUUGAAGAUAGAGUACCGCUUGGUUUGAAGUUGUGCUUCGGUGCCAUUUUAUCAGGAUGAGGCUCGAGUGGUGUUGUUGAAAAAGUUGACUGCUAAAGAUAUAACCAGCCAAAUAGUUGAGGUAUUUGGAUUGAUGGUGGCAGUUAAGGCACUCAAUCAAAUUAGUACAUAUUAUAUUUCUCAAUGACCGAGUGCCAUGUUACAUGAUUAGCAACUUGAUACUGUACAUGAGAUGUGGGCCUUGAUCUACUACAACUUGAUGAGAUUUUAAGCUAUUGGAUUAUCAAAAUAUAGAAUAUUUAAUAUCUUUCUUCACUUUUUAAGUUCUUUUCUCUAAAUUGAUACAAUAAAUAAGACUUGUUAGCUGCAUUCGACCAGGACAAUUGUAUAAUUGCUGAUCAUGUUAUAGAGACAAAUUGCAAAUUCCAAAAGUGAUGGCAAUGGUAAAU
rnacentral:lncRNA from 1 species